rnacentral:rRNA from 1 species
GACGAACGCUGGCGGCGUGCUUAACACAUGCAAGUCGAACGAGUGGGGACGGGUGAGUAACACGUGGGUAACCUCCCAUCAGAGGGGAUAACACUUGGAAACAGGUGCUAAACCGAUACUGCUGGAUGGACCCGCCGUGCAUUAGCUAGUUGGUGAGGUAACGGCUCACCAAGGCAACGAUGCAUAGCCGACCUGAGAGGGUGAUCGGCCACACUGGUACUGAGACACGGCCCAGACUCCUACGGGAGGCAGCAGUAGGGAAUCUUCGGCAAUGGACGAAAGUCUGACCGAGCAACGCCGCGUGAGUGAAGAAGGUUUUCGGAUCGUAAAACUCUGUUGUUAGAGAAGCGGUAUCUAAAGAGAAAGCAACGGCUAACUACGUGCCAGCCGCCGCGGUAAUUG